UGUUAGGUGAAUUAAUCACGUUAGUUUUUCGUAUUAAAGGUGGGAUUUGUUUUUAUUUUCAAU
rnacentral:tRNA from 2 species